rnacentral:tRNA from 1 species
AGCGGGAUAGAGCAGUGGGUGAGCUCGCGAGGUUCAUGUCCUCGAGGUGGGUGGUUCGAUUCCAUCUCCCGCAA